rnacentral:RNase_P_RNA from 1 species
CGAGAUGACCGGACGGUUGCGUUUUUAACGAGGAAAGUCCGAACACCGCAGGACAGAACGCCGGCUAACUACCGGUGAAGGCGACUUCAAGGAAAGUGCAACAGAAAAUAACAGCCUUAAUAUUUAAGGCAAUGGUGAAAAGGCGAGGUAAGAGCUCACCGUCGAGGCGGUAACGCCCCGAGCCGUGUAAACCCCGUUCGGUGCAAGACAUAAGGGUUAAGGUGGUCCGCCGUCCUUUACAAUCGCUCGACCGCAAGCGGCAACGCUUCGGCAAGAUAGAUAACCGUCAUAACAGAAUUCGGCUUACGGGUCAUACUCACGCU